GACCAGCUAGACAGUGGAUAUCACAUCAUGGUAGAUGUGAUAUGGCUUAAAAGGGCCUAAAAACUGUCGCUGUAAAUGGCGCAAAAUAUAUUGGUACUAAAAUGAUGAAACUGCUUAGUUAGGGACAUGGGCGAUGGCAAAUGGGUUUCGCUAAGACAUGAUGCAACAAGACAAAACCAAACAUAAUAGUGACACUAGAGCUUCAAGAGUGCCCUUGAGUAGAAGGGUUGUUAGUCGUGCGCUAAAAAUUACCUGUCCAAGUGAUUUUCAGAGUAUCUGCUUCAGUUAAAAGCUCAGGUUAAAAAGCGGUUCAUUUCUAAGAAAAAGUUCAGGGUGAAGAGGUAUAUUUUCACUCUAUGCAGAAGGGAAAUACUUCUCUCUGUUUCUAUUCCAGGGCACUGAAUAAGAACAUGGAGAACUGUCAGACUGUUGCUGCGCUUACUACAAGUUGGAGGAUCGCCCCCAGUCAAGAGGUCAGAGGGAAAAGCCAGUACUCCUCACCAUGGUUGUCAGCGCCGCUGAAUACAGAAAGUGAGAGAGGCAUAAAGGAAAGAUGCCUCGACCUGCACCACUAAUGUAUCGCAGGCUGCUGUGUUUCAACUAAAUCUGCGCUUCCUGUGUCCAGUGGCCUUGUCGCUAAAUUUGUGCUUGCCAAUUUCUGUUAUAACUACAACCCACCAAUGUGAAAACGUGAUGCCUCGCCUCUUUUCCUUGUCCUCCUGGCCUUUCACUCUGCUGCAAGCUUUUAGUUUUCAAUGCUUCAAUGAAUAAUACAAAAAUUGAUGCUACCAUAUUAUGUGAUGGCUGCCAUGAUGUCAAUAAUUUAGGUGUACCUGAAACUAAAUAAAAAAAAAAACAAAUAGGCAUGUGUGAGUAGGAAUAACUGUUCCUUGUGACCAAAUUUGCUCAAUGCUAAACUUGAGGUCG